rnacentral:rRNA from 1 species
GAUCCUGGCUCAGAUUGAACGCUGGCGGCAGGCUUAACACAUGCAAGUCGAGCGGGGAAAGGUAGCUUGCUACCUGACCUAGCGGCGGACGGGUGAGUAAUGCUUAGGAAUCUGCCUAUUAGUGGGGGACAACAUCUCGAAAGGGAUGCUAAUACCGCAUACGUCCUACGGGAGAAAGCAGGGGACCUUCGGGCCUUGCGCUAAUAGAUGAGCCUAAGUCGGAUUAGCUAGUUGGUGGGGUAAAGGCCU